rnacentral:lncRNA from 10 species
AUGUUCUUUGUCCUUUUGUUUUUCUUUAGCUUCUUUGUCUUUGUAAGGUCUGAUGACAUAUGCUUUAUGAAGGUUGUCAGUCACCAAAGGCCAGUGAUGCCAAUAUAAUGAAGCUUUCAUCAAGACCCAAAGUGACUGGGCUUGGAGAGCUUCCAGAUGGCUGAAUGCAUGGAGGCUCCUACAGGGUGGUGUGUCCUGGGAGGGCAUGGAAUCUCUGUGCCACCUCCCCCAUACUUUGCACUAUGCAUCUCUUCAUCUGUAUCUUUUGUAAUGUCAUUCAUAGAAAACUGGUAAAUGUGUUUCCCUGAGUACUUUGAGCCACUCUAGCAAUUCAAUUUAACCCAAAGAGGGAGUCCUGGGAACCCCAAUUUGAAGACAGUUGGCCAGAAGUUCUGGAGUUUCAGACCUACGACUGAUGUAGGGAGGCAGUUUCAUGGGACUGAGCCCUUUACCUGUGCAAUCCAGAUAGAGUGUGAGAAUUGACUUAAGAGGAUGCCCAGUUUGUGUCAUCUGCAGAAAUGAUUGCUUACUUGUUGGUGGAGAAAAACCCUCCCCACGUUUUGUCACAGGAGACUUCUUUGUUGAUGAUUGUUGCUGUGACGUGACAGCAGAGAAAAACAGGUCAAAUGUGUCUUUUCCACACAUACAGUGGACAAGGGGUACUACUGUAUACUCUGUUUGAACUGCCCGUCAUGUUU